rnacentral:misc_RNA from 1 species
AUUUACAAACCGGUUUGACUGGUAUUGUUUGUUAGAGCGUAUAGUGAGAUACGUAAGAGGAUUAGAUACAUGUUUAAAUCAGUUCUAGCGAUACUCUCAUUGUGGCGACAUCGUUAUACUCUCACCAGUAAGAAAUGGAUGCAAACAUCGAUGAACGCGUUGAGCAGAAGUUACGAGAGCACAGAUCGUCUUUGUUGACGGACAUGGAGAAAAUAAUAACUAAGAUAAGUGAUAAUAAUGCUCAAAAAUUUUCAAAUUUAUUAAAUGCUGGAAUUCCAAAAUUUAAGAGAAAGUCAAACGAAGAACAGUACAAGUACAAUAGCAAAGUAGGCGUAGCUUUGGAUGAAGCUGAGUCAUUGUUAUCUGACGAAAAAACGGACGAAUGUAGUAGGAAAAUAGCAGAAGCAAAAGACAUGGUUUUACACCGGCAAAAGUUAAUACGACUGGCUGACAAUUCGGAAUUGGGAUGGAGAGUCGUACACGAGUACGAAUGUAAUCCUCUUGCCGACAACUCGGAUGACGAAAAGCGUAUGAUGCAGGCCGAAUCAAGGGCCAAUCGAAAGUUCAAGGCAGAGAAGAAGCGUUCGACACGCCGAUCUUGGCCAUACAGGAGACUCACGUCUACCGUCACGGCUCCACAGGCGACAGUCGCAUCGACCACGCCCACGCAACCUAGACGUCCCGGGCUUUGUUUUGAUUGUGGCAAGCCCGGACAUUGGAAAGGAGCGCCGGAAUGCGCAGCAAAGGCUUCCAAUAACAAGAUGAGUAUAAAUUUGUUAUGUACAUUAGAUCAGAAAAAUGACGGGCAGUCUAAAAAUAUGGGUCCGGAAGAGCCCACUGAAACCUUAUCUCCUGUAGGUAGGUUGAAAGAAAAGUAUCAUAAAUGGAAAGAGGCAACUGGAAGUGAUUACAUAUUGAAUGUUAUUGAUAAAGGAUAUAAAUUACCCUUUAAAACAAUUCCGGAAGGAACAAUACUUAAAAAUAAUCGUUCAGCGAGAGAAAAUGUUUCGUUUGUAGAGCAAGAAAUUCAAGAUUUAUUAGAUAAAGGUAUAAUAUCAAAAUCAGAAAAAAACACCAAAGGUAGUCAACCCCCUCACUGUAGCUAUAAAUAAAAAAGGGAAAAAGAGAUUAGUUUUAGAUUGCAGAUAUAUAAAUCCCCAUUUACACCAAUUCAAAAUUAAAUUUGAGGAUAUAAAAAUAGCAGAGAAAUUAUUCGAAAAGAACUCCUAUUUAUUUACAUACGACUUAAAAGGAGCUUAUCAUCAUAUUGACAUUUUUGAUGAGCACAGAACUUAUCUAGGGUUUUCGUUCCCUGAGAACGGGUCCAAAAAAUAUUACGUGUUUAAUUCUUUACCAUUCGGAAUAAAAACAGCUGGGCACAUAUUCACAAAACUGUUGAGAAUAGUUGUUGCAUAUUUGAGAUGCAGAGGACACAAAAUCAUUAUGUUUUUGGAUGAUGGUAUAGGCGGUCAUAACUCUCUUAUGAAUGCAAUCACUUCCAGUGAUUAUACAAAACAAACUCUCAUUGAUUUUGGGUUUUUACUAGCACACGAGAAAUGCGAAUGGGUACCGAAACAAAAGGUAACGUGGCUUGGUCAUGUGUUAGAUAUGGAACAUAAUCUAUUGUUCAUUACUGAAAAUAGAAUACGGGGAUUAGAGUCUUCCAUAGAAUCUCUUCUAUAUCAGGUCAGUAUAUCAAAACAUAAAUUAGUAUCUGUUAGAUAUCUCGCAAGUGUCGUAGGACAGAUCACUUCUGUACAAAGUGUCAUAGGUAACAAAGUACGGCUUUUAACCAGAUAUUUAUUUAAUUGUAUUAAUUCUAGAGCCAGCUGGAAUGCUCCAGUAAUGAUCACAGAAAACGCAAUUGACGAAUUACAAUACUGGAGACAAAACGUGUUGACUUAGUUACCACGCUGAAAAGGAAAGCCGAUGAAGCCGGAUUUAUAGAGAACUCAACUCAUAUGGCAGAAAAGAUGGCUAGUUACUUACUACAAUCCAAAGCAGAUAACACUGUAAAUAAAUAUUUCAAUUCGUUUACACAAUUUGAAAAAUUCUGCCACAAAAAUAAACUCGUUUCCAAACCGGCACAUCCUUUCACGGUUGGGCUUUAUUUCACCAGUUUAAUGGACGAAGGAAAAUCUAAUCACGUUGUGACAUCAGCUUUUUACAGUAUUAAAUGGGUACAUAACAUUAAUGAUAUGAAGGAUCCGACAGAAAGUCCUGUUGUGAAACAAUUACUAGAAGCAGCCAAGCGUACACACUCCAAACCAGUAUGUAAAAAGGACGUUGUAUCUACUCAUGAACUGCAUUCUUUGUGUUCCAUGUUCAUUGACAGUGAUGAUAUAUGUAUUUUAAGGGACUUGUCUAUGAUUAUGAUUACGUACGCAGGUUUUAUGCGAAUUAGUGAGGUAUUGAACUUAAAAUGUAAAGAUGUGCGUUUCAAUGAAGAUCACGUGACAAUAUAUGUAUCGAAGAGCAAAACUGAUAUUUAUCGUAAUGGUUCAGAUAUAGUUAUUUCAAAGGGCAGCACUUCGGCGUGCCCAUAUGUCUUGUUACAGAAAUAUAUGAACGCCGCAAAUUUGAAUGAUAAGCCUGACGAAUUUUUAUUUAAACCAGCUUUAAGGUCGAAAAAUGUUGUAUCUCUUGUAAAGGUUAACAAGCCUCUUAGUUAUACUAGAGCUAAGGAAUGUAUUGUAAGUAAAUUAAAAUUAGUUGCACCAAAUAGAAAUCUUGGUACGCAUUCUCUCAGAGCCAGUGGUAUCACAGAAGCAGCUAAAAGUUCUGAUAUCUCUGAAAGAUGUCUAAAGAGACAUGGGAGGUGGAAGUCUGACAUUGCCAAAGAUGGUUAUGUUAAGGAUUCAAUUGAGAAAAGGCUCGCGGUUUCAAAAAAGCUCGAUUUAUAAUAGCGUUAACAAUUGUUCAUACAUAAAGAGCAUUGAAUUUGAAGAUAUUUCCCAAUCUAUACUUUGCUUGUUCUAUAGUCGUUUCGCAAAUCGCAAACGGAGUUUGUCUUUUGUUUGUAAGGAAGGUAGUUAGGACUAUUUGUACACUGCGGCACAUCGUGUAGCAGAGUACCGUUGUCCUCACGGACACUGAUUUACAAACCGGUUUGACUGGUAUUGUUUGUUAGAGCGUAUAGUGAGAUACGUAAGAGGAUUAGAUACAUGUUUAAAUCAGUUCUAGCGAUACUCUCAUUGUGGCUUCAAAUUCAAUGCUCUUUUUAGGAGUAAAACGCACAAAUAAGCGUUAUGUAUAAUGAGUAUUUGCAGGUUUACAUACAAUGUUCAAAAUAUUAUACUUAUUUAAGUGUUUAAGCCUAUUUAUCUGCAUGUUUACGUACAGUAUUUUUUUGAAAGCUUUAACAAACAUGUGAAAUUGUAAUAAAGAUUGUUUUUGUAGUGUAUAGAAGUAUAAACUGUCCGAGUAUUCGGAAAUAUCCAAUUUAUAUCAGUGUGCAGUUUAUGGUAUCACGCAAAGGUUUAUUUAGGAAAUACUUAAUGUAAUUGAAACCGUAACAUGUAAUGCUGUUAUUUUAUAGAGGAGGCACACUAUUACAAUAUGUAUUCAUAAGUGUAUCAAAAUGUCAUGAAACGAGAAUAUCCCGCCGUUUCUUGUCCGGAGAGAUGUCCAAGCCAGCCGCGGGUACAGGGUUCCAGAGGGUUUUUUACUCAAAGAGUUUUAUCUCUGGUUUUACCUGUGCAGCUAGAGGUCUCGUCGAUGGGCAUAUCAGACAUAUAUAUUUUAACAUUAUAAACAUGAAAUUUUGUCACUGUUAAUGUAUGAAAAUAUUUGAUGUCAUUGAUAUCUUAAAUUAUUGUAACAUAGUGAAUAUUACAUGUCAUUAUUUCAUACAUAUGAGUUUGGUUCACUAUUACAGUGACUUAGAUUUUACAUGUUAUUGUUCGCAAUGAUACUUGUAAUGACUUCUUAACUCUUGUAAUAAUGUCGUCACAAUAUAGUCGUUUCGCAAAUCGCAAACGGAGUUUGUCUUUUGUUUGUAAGGAAGGUAGUUAGGACAUUGCUUUUCUAUAA